UUUAAAAAAUGGUGUCAGCUCCGCGCUAGUGAUCCUUAAACGUGCAGUGGCAUCAAGAGGUGGAGACGGCGUCGUAAAGUUGUCAAUUUUUUGGGUUUAUAAUCGCGAUAGCUGCCGGUUUUGUUUUUCUAUUGUGGAGACCGCCUCUUCUUGUAGGUUGCAUUGGAUCACCAUUAGGCUGUGGUCAAGGAGGUAAGAGCAAUAUUUGAUUGUUUUGUUUAAUUUUUUAUUGGUUAAUUGUUUUGUUUUCAGGUUUUAGCGUCAAUUAAUGUAGGCGCUCGUCGUUCUGGGAUCGGCCCGUCUAUUGCAGCGCAGCAUGCAAGUAGGUUGUAUCGGUGAUAAGAGAUACUACCAGGGACUGUGUGGCAAGAAGAUUCAGGUAAGUGACGUUGUGCAUAAAUUGCUGCGGCGAGUCGCCUCUUAUUCAUCAUGUUUCUGCCACACUAAUCCUUUUCAUAUCGAUCUACCGAUUCGUCGAUUAUGUCCUGGUUGAUUUUCCCCGCAUCGUUUCGUCAGGAUCAGCUAGAGUGCGUUGUCUUAGGCUUGUUCAUCCGGAUGCGUUGAGGAAAGUUAGGCUGGGUCGAGGAAGGUGAUGACCUUGCAUGAGUUUGGGAGCAGACUGACGUGCGCUUUUCAUCGGAUAUAGAUGUCGUUAGAAUAGAUAUAAAGAGAUGUGGGUUUAAAUGGAUGUUUCCAUGUCAAGAUUGUAAUCUCUUCCUUGUAUGAUUAAGGCCAAUAAACUGUCAAUUUUCUUCUCUAAA